GCCAGAUAAGGGAAGCAGGCCUCCGAAGCCAGCAGUGGCAACCCACUUGGGUCCCUUUCAAUGCUGUGGAAGCGUUGUUCUUUCACUCUUCUCAAUAAAUCUUGCUGCUGCUCACUCUUUGGGUCUGCCCCGCUGUUAUGAGCUGUAACACUCACAGCCAGUGUCUGCAGUUUCACUCCUGAAGCCAGCAAGACCACAAACCCACAGGGCGGGACAAACAACUCCGGACAGGAGGAAUGAACAACUCUGGACGCGCCACUUCUAUGAACUUUUAUGAACUGUAACACUCACCGCAAAGGUCUGCAGCUUCACCCCUGAGGCCAGGGAGACCACGAACCCACCGGAAGGAAUGAACAACUCCAGACGCACUGCCUUUAAGAGCUGUAACACUUACCACGGAUGUCUGCAGCUUCACUCCUGAAGUCAGCGAGACCACAAACCCAACAGAAGGAAGAAACUCCCGACACAUCUGAACAUCUGAAGGAACAAACUCUGGACACACCAUCUUUAAGAACUGUAACACUCACCGUGAGGGUCAACCGCUUCAUUCUUGAAGUCAGCCAGACCAAGAACCCACCAAUUCCGGGUUUCAUCAUUUUUGGCCAUGCUGGCCUUGAACGCCUAACCUCAAAUGAUCCACCUGCCUUGGCCUCCUGAAGUUCUGGGAGUUAUAGGCAUGAGUCACCAUGCCUGGCACCACAUAAAAUUAUUUUGUCAUUAACAUUACAUUUUAAAAUACAAACGCUGUUUUCCAUAUUACUCAGGUCAGAUCUUUUACCCCACUUCUCUCAGUGAGAUUGCAUUAUUUAUUUCCAUCUCUAUAAUCUACUGUUCAUCCAUCUAUCUAUCCAUCCCUCAAUUUAGUUUUUUCACUACAUUCUGCAUUUGAUUCUUUUGAGGGUGUAUGCUUGUGUUUGUGCGUGGAAGUGGGGGUGUGUGUGUGUGUGUGUGUUCAAAAAGGUCUACAGUUUCCUUUUUCUGUAAUAUCUGUGUCUGCUGUUGGUAUUAGGGUAAUGCUGAACUCAUAGAGUAUGUGAAAAGUUUUCUACAUUCUUUGAUUUUUCUGAAAGAAAUUGUGCAGAAUUCAUAUUAUUUCUUUCUUAAAUGCUCAAGUGUUUAUUAAAAUUUACCAGUAAAA
rnacentral:lncRNA from 1 species